GGGUCCGUAGCUCAGUCUGGUCAGAGCGAACGGCUUUUAACCGUUCGGCCGCGGGUUCGAAUCCCGUCGGACCCA
rnacentral:tRNA from 1 species